GAUGAACGCUGGCGGCGUGCCUAAUACAUGCAAGUCGAGCGAACGGACGAGAAGCUUGCUUCUCUGAUGUUAGCGGCGGACGGGUGAGUAACACGUGGAUAACCUACCUAUAAGACUGGGAUAACUUCGGGAAACCGUAGCUAAUACCGGAUAAUAUUUUGAACCGCAUGGUUCAAAAGUGAAAGACGGUCUUGCUGUCACUUAUAGAUGGAUCCGCGCUGCAUUAGCUAGUUGGUAAGGUAACGGCUUACCAAGGCAACGAUGCAUAGCCGACCUGAGAGGGUGAUCGGCCACACUGGAACUGAGACACGGUCCAGACUCCUACGGGAGGCAGCAGUAGGGAAUCUUCCGCAAUAGGCGAAAGCCUGACGGAGCAACGCCGCGUGAGUGAUGAAGGUCUUCGGAUCGUAAAACUCUGUUAUUAGGGAAGAACAUAUGUGUAAGUAACUGUGCACAUCUUGACGGUACCUAAUCAGAAAGCCACGGCUAACUACGU
rnacentral:rRNA from 1 species